UCAUGGUCUCUGUCAAGAAGUCUGGUGUAAUUCUGAUAGGUGCCUUGGUGAACUUCAAGUAACAUAUAAAGUCAGGUCUAUCAGAAUUACACCAGAACUAUCAACUCUCAGCUUAGCUAUGAUGGAGAUAUUUAUUGACUGAAGAUUGCAAUCCUAUGAAGUGUGCUUUUGGAAAGGUUAUCUAACCCUGUUUCUUUGAUCCAGCUUUACAUUAUAAAUGCUACCUACUUGUUCAUCUGUGUUUAAUAGUCCUGCUUCUUUGUUCACUUAUAAGCAGUAGCUCUACUUCUCUGUUGAAGUAUAUAUAAUAAACAAUCUUACCAUCUGGGG